CCAGACAGCCAGGAUGUUGGCUUAGAAGCAGCCAUCAUUUAAAGAAAGCGUAAUAGCUCACUGGUCGAGUCGGCCUGCGCGGAAGAUGUAACGGGGCUAAACCAUGCACCGAAGCUGCGGCAGCGACGCUAUGCGUUGUUGGGUAGGGGAGCGUUCUGUAAGCCUGCGAAGGUGUGCUGUGAGGCAUGCUGGAGGUAUCAGAAGUGCGAAUGCUGACAUAAGUAACGAUAAAGCGGGUGAAAAGCCCGCUCGCCGGAAGACCAAGGGUUCCUGUCCAACGUUAAUCGGGGCAGG
rnacentral:rRNA from 1 species